rnacentral:lncRNA from 1 species
GGAGCACAUAGCCCCUCGCGCCCCAUUGCCGCCCACCCAAAAGCUAAUCCGGGAGGCUUUCGUUUCUCUGCUCAUUAAAUCGAGAGAGUGCAAAGUCGCUCGGCUUUUGUGUUGCCCACAUUUCAUGCCGCUUUGCCUUUCCCCCCAAGGGGCUUUUCCCCUUCUCACUUGACAGGUCGACACAAGAAAGACGGAAAGCAACCGCUCCGCAUUUUUUCCUCCUCGCCCGUUUUUCUGAGUUCCUUCCUUUCCUGCAAAUCAAUAUUAGUUAUUAGUUGAACAAUGAAGAUGCUUUAUUGCAUGGAGGGUUCUGGGCAAAGGCGAGCGUACUGCUAAGCCCCGCUGAACGAGGAAGAGAUAUGAACUGCUUCGGACUAAUGAGGAAUACAUUAGGAAUGCUGCUGUAAUUUGCUUCAUUUAAAGCCGCUCUCAGAAGUUUCAGAAACGGAAUUCAUAUCCUCUCAAGUAGCAUUUGACUUCCGCCUCAGACCAGUUCGCCUGCUUUUGGUCCAAAAUUCAGUUCUUGCAGGACAUUGAAAAGCUAUUUUAACAAGAUUGUGUUAUUCAUUGGAUAUUAUGUCUCCCUUCCAUCCUUCCUUCCUUCCUUCCUUCCUUCCUUCCUGUCUCCAAGGUGUCCCCAUUGAAGAUCUGGUGCUUUUUCCUUGAGGUCUCCAAGGUUCUUCUACUGAACAUCUGGACACAUUUCAUUGUAAUCUCUUCUAAGGGGUCCCCAUUGAAGAUCUAGAGCUUUUUCCUUGCGGUCUCCAAGGUGCCUCUAUUGAAUAUUAGAAGUUCUUUCAUUGUUGUUGUUGUUGUUGUUGUUGUUGUUGUUUUGCACUACAAAUAAGACAUGUGAAGUAUGCAUAGGAAUUUGUUUGUAUUUUUUUUCAAAUGAUAAUUCGGCCCCUCAACAGUCUGAAGCAGGGGUCCCCAAACUAAGGCCCGGGGGCCGGAUGCGGCCCUCCAAGGUAAUUUAUCUGGCCCCAGCUCUUAGUUUUAGACUUCGCCUUGCCCAAAGCAUGAAAUGACUUGAAGGCACACAAUACCAACAAUCCUACGUAACUUGACUAUCUCAUUGGCCAGAAGCAGGCCCACACUUCCCAUUGAAAUCCUGAUAGGUUUAUGUUGGUUAAAAUUGUUUUUAUUAUUAAAUAUUGUAUUGUUCUUUCAUUUACUAAUACUGUGCUAUGGUAACAAUUGAAUAUAAUGUGUACAUAUAAUAUUGAUACUAAUAUUAUAAUGUAAUACAAUAUA